CGCCUAUCGACUCAAAAUAAAAUAGAUCAAUUGGAAAUUUAAUUUGAAAAUACAUUCUUUUACUGGCUAUUUAACAUUACUAGCAAUGGAAGCGCCAUUAUUUUGCCGCGUCUGCAUGGAGUAUUGCGAAGACAUGUUUAUGAAAAACAUAUUUGAGCUAACGCCGGAAUAUAACUGUACCAUCGCCGAUAUGAUAGCUGAGUGUACCGGCUAUAUAGUUGAGAAAGGAGACCGUCUACCCGAAACCAUUUGCUCUAAUUGCCUGGAGAAUGCGAAAAAUGCAUUCGAGAUAAAGCGAACCAACAUGGAGGCCACCAACACCACAAGAUAAACGAGCGUCUGGAAGAUGAACCAUUUUCCAUUUCCGACACAGACAGUCAAGAUGAUAAUGAGGAUUAUUUGCCAUCCGAUGAGGCGUCAGCGGGUCUGCUCCGGAUUAUAAUCCUCUAAAGGAAAAAAUGGCAAAGGAGCAUCGACACAAGUGCUCCUAUUGUUCCAAGACCUUCCAAAGGGCCUGCCAUUUUCAGAGACACCUGCGAAUCCACACAAAUGAACGACCCUACAAGUGUUAUCAGUGUCCAAAGAGUUUCAUUUGUUCUUCGAAUCUUAAUAACCACCUGCGAAUUCACGCAGGAGUAAAGCCCUUCAAAUGUGAUCACUGCUCAAAAAGUUUUAUACAUAACGGCGCUCUUACGGUACACUUAAAGCGACACAGUGGGGAACGACCUUUCCAAUGCACGCAAUGCUCAAAAUCCUUCUUCUUAAAAGAGCAGCUUAAGAUACACAUUCGAGUCCAUACGGGAGAACGACCAUACCAGUGCUCCCUUUGCCCUAAAAUAUUCGCCGCUUCAGCAGCCCUUAGUCGGCACAUGCUAAUCCACACUGGAGAACGACCUUAUAAAUGUUCUAAGUGCUCAUCGAGUUUCAACCAGUCCUCAAGUCUGAAUCGACACUUGAAAACCCACGACAAAUGACUGUACUCUUAAGCCAAUUGAAAUACAUUUUGAAAAGUA